rnacentral:tmRNA from 1 species
GGGGGCGAACGGUCUCGAUCCGGGCAAUCGUUCGCGCGGUGGCCAUGCAGAGGUUGCGAGGAGGCCUCUUAAAACACCUUGCAUCGUACAAACGCGAAAACAAGCGUAAACUCAUUCCAGGUGCCGGCUUUCCGGCUCCCGGUGAUGAGCCCAGUAGCUCUCUAAAAAGAGCUGCCGUCGCGGGUUCUACGCCUGCGGGAAUUUUGCGACGACUCAUAGCGGGCUGGCUGCAAGCUUUUAGCCUUUGGGGCUUGCGGUGAGAUUCCAAAGGCUGGUUCUCAGGGAUCCCGUCCGUCGGAGACUUGGGGAUGAGACCAAAAGGCGAGACUAAGCAUGUAGAGGCUGCGUGUGGGAUUUCCGGAGACGCGGGUUCGAUUCCCGCCGCCUCCACCA